GCAGCAGGGCCAAGGCUGUUGCACUGGCCCUUGGCGCAGCUGCCAUUGCUUGUUCCCACAUGGUGUGGCUUGGCUCAGCCCUUGACCCUGGCAUCCAUUGCCUCGUUAUCCAAACACAGAAAUGACCUCCUCUGUGGCCUUGGGGGUGGCCUCAGCUGUGUAAACACAUGUAUAUGUGCAUAUACUUUAUAUAUAUGAUACACAGGUGUGCUGUGUGUAUCUGUCUAACAUGAAGAGCUCAGCUAUAGAGUCAAAUAGAUCGAGCAUUCCAGUCCUGGUUCAGUCACUUUUGCUGGCUUUGUGCUCUCGGAAUAGUUUCCGAAUCCCUUGAAGCUUGGGGGUUUUUAGCUAUAGGGAGGUGACAGUAGUACCUAGUUUAUAGGGUUAUUGUGAGCAUUAAAUGGGCUGGGCUUACAAGGGUGCAGAGUGGGUUGGGUGGUAAUAUUUGUAAGAGUGUGAGUGUCAGUUGUCACUGCCCUCAUGUCAAUACCAUUUAUUAUAGGAUUUAUACUGGGCCCAGGGCUGAGAAUCUCAUGUGCAUGAUCUUACUUUUAAUAACACAACUAUGCAGUGAGUUUUUAAACUCAAAAGGAAACAUGUCACCAGCAGUGACUUGCAUGAGGGCUUUUGUUUGUUUUGGUUGAAAGAGUGUCCUGAGCCGCACCCCUACUCUGAACACAUUCCCCAACCUCCACCAUGCUUCCAGGAUCUGCUCCUUUCUUACCAGUUUAGGUUUUUCCCUGUGUGGGUCUUUGUAAGUCUUUUCCUAAUAUUGGAUAGCCCAUUCCUUGAACUGCAGCUGUAGAACACCUGAACAUUUUGAUUUAUGGUUGCACAGGAGGCUAUAGCAAAUUUACAGACUUUAAAUUAUGUAAUUAGAGUACAAAGCCAUACUGUAAACUAUGCCCCUCUUGUUUGCAAAGUCUCACACCCAUCAGUUGUCUUGGAGUUUGAUUGAUCUCCACUGGGUGCUGGCUGUCUGCAAAAUGCUGUACUGGCAUGAUUAGUUUAACCCAUCUCUACUUCCAAAGAGUUGAUAGUCUACUGUGGAGACAGCCAGCCAGACAAAUCGUUAUGUGCAAUAAGGUGAAUGCUCUGACAGUACCAGAAAGACAAAUAUGGUGGGCUAAGGAGAGGGAGAGUGGUUGGGUGUGUUCAGGAAGGCCCUCUGAGAAGGAGGCAUUUGAGUGCGGUGAUUCUUCCUAUGUGAGGAAUAAUCUACAAAAUACCCGACCAAUACUUCUCAAAAAAGUACUGUUCAAAACAAGCGAAGGAACUGUCAUAGACAACAGGAGGCUAAGGAGACAUGACAACUAAAUGUAAUGUGAUAUCCUAGAUGUGAUCCUGGAACAGAAAAAUGACGUUAGGUAAAAACGAAGGACAUCUGAAUUAAGCAUGGACUUCAAUUAAUAGUAAUGUAUUAAUAUUGAUUCAUUAGUUGUGACAAAUGUACCAAUAAGUAUAAGUGGAUAACAACAGGGGAAACUGGGUGUGGAAUAUACAGAAACUCCCUGUAUGGUCUCAGCAAUUAUUUUGUAAAUUUAAAACCGUUCUAAGAUUAAAAAGUUUAUUGAAAAAUACCUACUGAACUGAACUCUGGAUUUAUCUUCACUUUUGACUGAACAGCAGGACGCCAAGUUAACAUGCCAAUAUGUGUUCUGUGGAUGAAGAUUGAGGGAUGGAUUAAAAAAUCUUAGCUCAACAAAUAACAACUCUGUGCAUGGAAGUUGCCAAAGAUGUAGAAAAUUCUUGCCAGGACGUAGGGUGACUCUUCAGAUAACGCAGAGCUCGUUUGAAAUAUCAUUGUUCCAAGGGGGCCAAACCAAACAGGCCACACCACACAGUGGCCAAGCUGUGCUGUCCUGGGUUCAUUCCAGCCCUACGCCAUAACCACCAUGAGAUUUUUGUACGAGCAGUUUACACCCUGAACUUCAGUUUCCUCAUUGAUAACAUGAAAAUCAUAGUAUAUCAUGCCAUUGGCAGUUUCGAAGUUAAAUGAGGGUGAUGGUGUCUGUAGUGCACUCAGCACAGUAGUUGGUACUCAUUAGCUGCUCCCUACAGGGCAGCUGUUGCUGUUGCCCGAAACUUCUUUUUGUAACAUGCAAAACACAUUCCAUUAACACAAGUCUAAUGACUUUGCUUAAUGGCAGUAGAUGAUGCCAGCGGCUACCUUGGUUUGAUUUCAAGGAUAGAAGGACAUUCUUCCCCUACAAAAUGUCUGUUAUUAAUACCGCUUCCAGUUCCCCCUUGAAGAAUUAAUUGUGCUAAAUAAUUUGUGUUAAAUAUGACCAUGUCUCUUUCAAGCUGCUCAUGCCGCUAGAAAGAACAGUACAUCCAGCGUGAAGGGGCUUUUCAGGUUUGCCGUGCAGGGGAGCCUUGAAACAGGUAGGAGAGAGGCUUGGAGAGGGAGAAAGGGGUUCAGAGGAGCGGGCAAAACUUGUUUACUUUUCAGACCCACCUAGAUCUACCUAGGGAUGGCCCUGUUGCUCUUUAUCUAAGAUAAAUUAGUAUUGUAUAUUUCCUGCUAAGCUAAGUAUCCAUGCAGUUUGGAUUUAUCUGACUUGUACAAAUGAAAUAUAGGUCCAAAGCAUUUUUAUACAUUUACAUGGUAAAGAUUAAUCUUUACCCAAUCAGCUGGAUCCCUGGAACUCAGCUUUUAUGAAGAGGAAUGUUAGCGGACCCACCAAGCACCUAAUAUGCUCAACUUUUUAAUUGCCUUUUUUCUGCCCCUCAGGAAUUAUUACAUCAAUUUUGUUUACCCAGAUUGAAAAUCCAAGUGUUUCUGUUGUCAGCAUGUGCUGCACCUAAGCAUGCUGACUCUGGCUCAAUUUCCCCUUGGCUGCAUUUUCCAUCUUUUUUCUAUUGCAGAAUUUCUUCAAAGUUAUGUGAGCCCUACCCUCCGUGGGUAGAGAAGUUGAGCGGAAAAAAUGGUUCCCUGGGUAAAUAAGUUUAGGAAAUGUGAAACCAAGGUAAGCAGGUUUCUCUACUGCAGGGCUUUUCAGAGCCUUGGUUUUGCUGACAUGCACUGAGUCCCUGAGAGUGAUGUGGUGUGGCUCAUCUCCCAGUACCAGGAAACCUGUCUUCUUGUAUCAGCCCUUUAUGCAGAGGGAUCAGUGUUCUGAGAAAUACAAAGAGUAUGAGAAAGAUGUUGCCAUAGAAGAAAUUGAUGGUCUCCAACUGGUGAAGAAACUGGCAAAGAACAUGGAAGAGAUGUUUCACAAGAAGUCUGAGGCAGUCAGGCGUCUGGUGGAAGCUGCAGAAGAAGCACACCUAAAACAUGAAUUUGAUGCAGACUUACAGUAUGAAUACUUCAAUGCUGUGCUGAUAAAUGAAAGGGACAAAGACGGGAAUUUUUUGGAGCUGGGAAAGGAAUUCAUCUUAGCCCCAAAUGACCAUUUUAAUAAUUUGCCUGUGAACAUCAGUCUAAGUGAUGUCCAAGUACCAACAAACAUGUACAACAAAGACCCUGCAAUUGUCAAUGGGGUUUAUUGGUCUGAAUCCCUAAACAAAGUUUUUGUAGAUAACUUUGACCGUGACCCAUCUCUUAUAUGGCAAUACUUCGGAAGUGCAAAGGGCUUUUUUAGGCAGUAUCCGGGGAUUAAAUGGGAACCAGAUGAGAAUGGAGUCAUUGCCUUUGACUGCAGGAACCGAAAAUGGUACAUCCAGGCAGCAACUUCUCCGAAAGACGUGGUCAUUUUAGUUGAUGUCAGUGGCAGCAUGAAAGGACUCCGUCUGACUAUCGCAAAGCAAACAGUCUCAUCCAUUUUGGAUACACUGGGGGAUGAUGACUUCUUCAACAUAAUUGCUUAUAACGAGGAGCUUCACUAUGUGGAACCUUGCCUGAAUGGAACCUUGGUGCAAGCAGACAGGACAAACAAGGAGCACUUCAGGGAGCAUCUGGACAAACUUUUCGCCAAAGGAAUUGGAAUGUUGGAUAUAGCUCUGAAUGAGGCCUUCAACAUUCUCAGUGAUUUCAACCACACGGGACAAGGAAGUAUCUGCAGUCAGGCCAUCAUGCUCAUAACUGACGGGGCAGUGGACACCUAUGAUACAAUCUUUGCGAAAUACAAUUGGCCAGAUCGAAAGGUUCGCAUCUUCACAUACCUCAUUGGACGAGAGGCUGCAUUUGCAGACAAUCUAAAGUGGAUGGCCUGUGCCAACAAAGGAUUUUUUACCCAGAUCUCCACCUUGGCUGACGUGCAGGAGAAUGUCAUGGAAUACCUCCACGUGCUCAGCCGGCCCAAAGUCAUCGACCAGGAGCAUGAUGUGGUGUGGACCGAAGCUUACAUCGACAGCACCCUCCCUCAGGCACAAAAGCUGACUGAUGAUCAGGGCCUCGUCCUGAUGACCACUGUAGCCAUGCCUGUGUUUAGUAAGCAGAACGAAACCAGAUCGAAGGGCAUUCUCCUAGGAGUGGUUGGCACAGAUGUCCCAGUGAAAGAACUUCUGAAGACCAUCCCCAAAUACAAGUUAGGGAUUCACGGUUAUGCCUUUGCAAUCACAAAUAAUGGAUAUAUCCUGACGCAUCCAGAACUCAGGCCGCUGUAUGAAGAAGGAAAAAAGCGCAGGAAACCUAACUAUAGUAGCGUUGACCUCUCUGAGGUGGAGUGGGAAGACCGCGAUGAUGUGUUGAGAAAUGCUAUGGUGAAUCGAAAGACGGGGAAGUUUUCCAUGGAGGUGAAGAAGACAGUGGACAAAGGGAAACGGGUUUUGGUGAUGACAAAUGACUACUAUUAUACAGACAUCAAGGGUACUCCUUUCAGUUUAGGUGUGGCGCUCUCCAGAGGCCAUGGGAAGUAUUUCUUCCGAGGGAAUGUAACCAUCGAAGAAGGCCUGCAUGACUUAGAACAUCCUGAUGUGUCCUUGGCAGAUGAAUGGUCCUACUGCAACACUGACCUACACCCUGAGCACCGUCAUCUGUCUCAGUUAGAAGCAAUUAAGCUCUACCUCAAAGGCAAAGAACCUCUGCUCCAAUGUGAUAAAGAAUUGAUCCAAGAAGUCCUUUUUGAUGCCGUGGUGAGUGCCCCCAUUGAAGCGUAUUGGACCAGCCUGGCCCUCAACAAAUCUGAGAAUUCUGACAAAGGUGUGGAGGUUGCCUUCCUGGGCACUCGCACGGGCCUCUCCAGAAUCAACCUGUUUGUCGGGGCCGAGCAGCUCACCAAUCAGGACUUCCUGAAAGCUGGCGACAAGGAGAACAUUUUUAAUGCAGACCAUUUCCCUCUCUGGUACCGAAGAGCCGCUGAGCAGAUUCCAGGGAGCUUCGUCUACUCGAUCCCGUUCAGCACUGGACCUGUCAAUAAAAGCAAUGUGGUGACAGCGAGUACAUCCAUCCAGCUCCUGGAUGAACGGAAAUCUCCUGUGGUGGCAGCUGUAGGCAUUCAGAUGAAACUUGAAUUUUUCCAGAGGAAGUUCUGGACCGCCAGCAGACAGUGUGCCUCCCUGGAUGGCAAAUGCUCCAUCAGCUGCGAUGAUGAGACUGUGAACUGUUACCUCAUAGACAAUAAUGGAUUUAUUUUGGUGUCUGAAGACUACACACAGACUGGAGACUUUUUUGGUGAGAUCGAGGGAGCUGUGAUGAACAAAUUGCUAACAAUGGGCUCCUUUAAAAGAAUUACCCUUUAUGACUACCAAGCCAUGUGUAGAGCCAACAAGGAAAGCAGCGAUGGUGCCCAUGGCCUCCUGGAUCCUUACCAUGCCUUCCUCUCUGCAGUAAAAUGGAUAAUGACGGAACUUGUCUUGUUCCUGGUGGAAUUUAACCUCUGCAGUUGGUGGCACUCCGAUAUGACAGCUAAAGCCCAGAAAUUGAAACAGACCCUGGAGCCUUGUGAUACUGAAUAUCCAGCAUUUGUCUCUGAGCGCACCAUCAAGGAGACCACAGGGAAUAUUGCUUGUGAAGACUGCUCCAAGUCCUUUGUCAUCCAGCAAAUCCCAAGCAGCAACCUGUUCAUGGUGGUGGUGGACAGCAGCUGCCUCUGCGAAUCUGUGGCCCCCAUCACCAUGGCGCCCAUUGAAAUUAGGUAUAUCCUUUUGUGUGCUGAUCCAGUCACUACCGCUGAAACCAGGAAGGGGGAAUCAAGGGUAAGGAAACCUAGGGGAGAAAUAUUAGAGAAGGAAAAUUACAUCCUUUCCACUGUUGGAGAGAGUUGUCAUUGCCAAGUUUUGAGCUCUGAACUGCAGAGUAGAAAAAGCAAUCCUUGGAAACAUGCCUUAACUACAGUCAACAUAAUGAAUCCCUUAAGUGUGAACGUCUAAAGGCCCAGAAGAUCAGAAGGCGCCCAGAAUCUUGUCAUGGCUUCCACCCUGAGGAGAAUGCAAGGGAGUGUGGGGCGGCGCCAGGUCUCCAGGCCCUGACAGUCCUCCUCCUGCUCCCCCUGCUUUUGAUGCUCUUCUCAAGGUGACACUGACUGAGAUGUUCUCUUGGCAUGCUAAAUCAUGGAUAAACUGUGAACCAAAAUAUGGUGCAACAUACGAGACAUGAAUAUAGUCCAACCAUCAGCAUCUUAUCAUGAUUUUAAACUGUGCGUGAUAUAAACUCUAAAAGAUAUGUUGACAAAAAGUUAUCUUUUUACUUUGCCAGUCAUGCAAAUGUGAGUUUGCCACAUGAUAAUCACCCUUCAUCAGAAAUGGGACCGCAAGUGGUAGGCAGUGUCCCUUCUGCUUGAAACCUAUUGAAACCAAUUUAAAACUGUGUACUUUUUAAAUAAAGUAUAUUAAAAUCAUAA